rnacentral:rRNA from 1 species
UACAGAGGUCUCAAGCGUUGUUCGGAUUCAUUGGGCGUAAAGGGUGCGUAGGUGGCGCUGUAAGUCGGGUGUGAAAUUUCGGAGCUUAACUCCGAAACUGCAUUCGAUACUGCGGUGCUUGAGGACUGGAGAGGAGACUGGAAUUCAUGGUGUAGCAGUGAAAUGCGUAGAGAUCGUAAGGAAGACCAGUGGCGAAGGCGGGUCUCUGGACAGUUCCUGACGCUGAGGCACGAAGGUCAGGGGAGCAAACGGG